rnacentral:rRNA from 1 species
ACCAGACUCCUACGGGAGGCAGCAGUGGGGAAUAUUGGGCAAUGGGCGCAAGCCUGACCCAGCAACGCCGCGUGAAGGAAGAAGGCUUUCGGGUUGUAAACUUCUUUUAUUCGGGACGAAGCAAGUGACGGUACCGAAUGAAUAAGCCACGGCUAACUACGUGCCAGCAGCCGCGGUAAUACGUAGGUGGCGAGCGUUAUCCGGAUUUACUGGGUGUAAAGGGCGUGUAGGCGGGAGUGCAAGUCAGAUGUGAAAACUAUGGGCUCAACCCAUAGCCUGCAUUUGAAACUGUACUUCUUGAGUGCUGGAGAGGCAAUCGGAAUUCCGUGUGUAGCGGUGAAAUGCGUAGAUAUACGGAGGAACACCAGUGGCGAAGGCGGAUUGCUGGACAGUAACUGACGCUGAGGCGCGAAGGCCAGGGGAGCGAAAGGGAUUAGAUACCCGCGUAG